rnacentral:rRNA from 1 species
CCUACGGGUGGCAGCAGUGGGGAAUAUUGGACAAUGGGCGAAAGCCUGAUCCAGCCAUGCCGCGUGUGUGAAGAAGGCCUUCGGGUUGUAAAGCACUUUCAGUGGGGAAGAAAGCCUUGGGGCUAAUACCCUCGAGGAAGGACAUUACCCACAGAAGAAGCACCGGCUAACUCCGUGCCAGCAGCCGCGGUAAUACGGAGGGUGCGAGCGUUAAUCGGAAUUACUGGGCGUAAAGCGCGCGUAGGCGGUCUGAUAAGCCGGUUGUGAAAGCCCCGGGCUCAACCUGGGAACGGCAUCCGGAACUGUCAGGCUAGAGUGCAGGAGAGGAAGGUAGAAUUCCCGGUGUAGCAGUGAAAUGCGUAGAGAUCGGGAGGAAUACCAGUGGCGAAGGCGGCCUUCUGGACUGACACUGACGCUGAGGUGCGAAAGCGUGGGUAGCAAACAGGAUUAGAUACCCCUGUAGUC